rnacentral:rRNA from 1 species
AGAGUUUGAUCCUGGCUCAGAAUCAACGCUGGCGGCGCGCUUAACACAUGCAAGUCGAACGAGAAAGCCCGCAAGGGUGAGUAAAGUGGCGCACGGGUGAGUAACACGUGGGUAAUCUACCUCUGGGUGGGGAAUAACCCUGGGAAACCGGGGCUAAUACCGCAUAAGCUCGAAAGAGGAAAGGCGAAAGUCGCCGGGAGAGGAGCCCGCGGCCGAUUAGCUAGUUGGCAGGGUAAAAGCCUACCAAGGCGAAGAUCGGUAGCCGGCCUGAGAGGGCACACGGCCACACUGGCACUGAAACACGGGCCAGACUCCUACGGGAGGCAGCAGUGGGGAAUCUUGCACAAUGGGGGCAACCCUGAUGCAGCGACGCCGCGUGAGCGAUGAAGCCCUUCGGGGUGUAAAGCUCUCUCGGCCGGAACGAUAAUGACGGUACCGGAAGAAGAAGCUGCGGCUAACUACGUGCCAGCAGCCGCGGUAAUACGUAGGCAGCGAGCGUUGUUCGGAGUUACUGGGCGUAAAGAGUGCGUAGGCGGUUGGCUAAGUUUGGUGUGAAAUCUCCCGGCUCAACUGGGAGGGUGCGCCGAAAACUGGCUGGCUUGAGUGUGGGAGAGGUAAGCGGAAUUCCCGGUGUAGCGGUGAAACGCGUAGAUAUCGGGAGGAACACCUGCGGUGUAGACGGCUUACUGGACCAUGACUGACGCUGAGGCACGAAAGCGUGGGGAGCAAACAGGAUUAGAUACCCUGGUAGUCCACGCCCUAAACGAUGCACACUUGGUGUGGGCAGUUCAUUCUGUCCG